GCUCUCUGGUUUCUCUUCAGAUCCUAUAAAUCUUUUGCCUUUUACAAACAAUUUCCAUGGAGAGAAACUCAUGAGUUUCAUCACUGAUUUUCUUUUUUUUUUUUCAGGCACCGUAUUUGAUA
rnacentral:snRNA from 1 species